CGUAGGGGACGAGCGUUGUCCGGAUUCAUUGGGCGUAAAGCGCGCGUAGGCGGCUCGGAAAGUCGGUCGUGAAAUGCCGGGGCUCAACCCCGGGACUGCGUCCGAUACUUCCGGGCUGAGGUAGGUAGGGGAGAUCGGAAUUCCUGGUGUAGGCGGUGGAAUGCGCAGAUAUCAGGAGGAACACCGGUGGCGAAGGCGGAUCUCUGGGCCUUACCUGACGCUGAGGCGCGAAAGCUAGGGGAGCGAACAGGAUUAGAUAACCCUGGUAGUCCUAGCCGUAAAACGUUGGGUGCUAGGUGUGGGCGGACAUCGACCCCGUCCGUGCCGAAGCUAACGCAUUUAAGCACCCCGCCUGGGGAGUACGGCCGCAAGGCUAA
rnacentral:rRNA from 1 species